GACGAACGCUGGCGGCGUGCUUAACACAUGCAAGUCGAACGGAAAGGCCCUGCUUUUGUGGGGUGCUCGAGUGGCGAACGGGUGAGUAACACGUGAGUAACCUGCCCUUGACUUUGGGAUAACUUCAGGAAACUGGGGCUAAUACCGGCUAGGAGCUCCUGCUGCAUGGUGGGGGUUGGACAGUUUCGGCGGUUGGGGAUGGACUCGCGGCUUAUCAGCUUGUUGGUGGGGUAGUGGCUUACCAAGGCUUUGACGGGUAGCCGGCCUGAGAGGGGGACCGGCCACAUGGGGACUGAGAUACGGCCCAGACGCCUACGGGAGGCAGCAGUGGGGAAUAUUGCACAAUGGGCGGAAGCGUGAGGCAGCAACGCCGCGUGCGGGAUGACGGCCUUCGGGUGGGAAACCGCUUUCGCCUGUGACGAAGCGUGAGUGACGGUAAUGGGUAAAGAAGCACCGGCUAACUACGUG
rnacentral:rRNA from 1 species